CCAUUAUUCACAGCAACAGACGCCAAAUAUGCCGCCGGACAAUGAUUCAUGAGGAAAUGUUACAAAUGUCGAUUGGAAUUCGUCGAUAGAAAUUGUCGUCUUAUCCUGUUUCCUUAGGUUUUUUUAUCCUAUGGAAGCUCACUUUGCUUUAAACGCGUAUGCUAAUGUCCCACCUUCAGAUAUAUGUAGCAUUCUAUCAGCAAGCUAACUCUUCAGUAGCUGAACAAUAAGGAACUAAACUGCUGACUCAUUGUUUCACAAAUACCGUUUCAAAAGCAGACUUUCAAGUGCUUGCACGUGAAUUAACUGGCUCUGCAACUCAUGGGAAAAGAAGGACUAGACGAGGAACAUCUGUCAGGUUUUCAACUGUCUUUGAGUUACUCUAAAGUAGGCAUGGAUAAACGUAAACCAUCAGAUUCUUCUCUUCUGAUUCAACGUUAAGUUUGAUAUAGAAAGAACUCACAGCAACUCCACUUGGUCCAGGACGGCCUCUCUCACCAGAAUUACCCACCAUUGGUCCAGGGGCUCCAUUCUCUCCAGGAGCACCAGCCUCACCCUAUCAAGAAAAAAAUAUUUGGAAGUCAGCGUGGCAAGGCAGCCCUAGAUACAGACUCAAUUUGAAUGAUAGUUAACUUUAUUCAUCCUGGAGUUUAAACAGUCUGUGUUUGGUUCAUUACUUUCAUUACUUGCCAAUAAAAAAUAAUGAAAAAUCACCUUAUAUCAACAGAGAAUGUGAGGUUAUGUCAUACACUAUAGGAUCGUGGGCUGUGGGUGCCAUCUUAAAGGAUCAUAUAAAAUUCUACCUGUUUUGUU